AUUUCUCACAACGUCAUUUCUUCACAAACGUCAUUUCUUCAAAAAAAAAAAAAGCAAGUUAAACAUUCUCCAUAACCCAUUCUCCAGUGAUAGCAAGUUGGAGGAAUUUCAAACGUCAAACAAAAAUUCUCCGAUGAUAGCAAAACACCGAUUCUCCAUAACCGAUUCUUCGAUCUCCGAUCUUCUCCAGUGAUAGCAAGUUUUCUCUUCGAUCUUGAUCUAUUCUCAGUUAAGUGUCAUCAACACCGAUCAGCGAUUUCUUCACGUAAUUGUAGAGAAUUCGAAAAUAUCAGCAAUUACUUCAUUAUCUUCUCCAUAACUUUCUUCAGCGAUUGCUUCAAAUUUAGGUAAGCGUGAGUUGGAAUCACCUGAUUAUCUCUACAAUUUCUUCAAUUUCUUCAAUUUCUUGAAAUUUUGAUAACAAAUGCUAAGCUGGUGAGAUAGUGAAGAUUACAUUAUCUUGUUCCAUGGGGAUUGAGAGGGUUAGAUUAGAUGAAUACAACCUUAUAUUUGUUAGAACAAGAAGUAGUAUAAGGAGGUAUUAUUAUAAAAAUCUGAACUCUUUUGUUAAGUGCAUUAUUUUGACUUUUUUUUUUUACUAUCAUGAAUGUUUGCUGUUAGUAACCACGAGCAUACAUAAUCUUAGGUUCGGACACAAAGACGCUUAUUUUCGGAAUUAAAUUUUUCGAAAUUGAAAUUGUUAUAGUGAGGAUCCAUAAUAGCUAAGCAAAUACCAAUAAUAGCUAACAAAAUUGAAUGUUUAUCAUUGUUAUGACUAAGUUGAAUCAGUAUGUAAUGAUCGUUUUAUUCAAUCAAGGCUGCACUUGAAUUAUGUGACCAAGCUGUUUGCACUUUAAUCUUAGUAAUGGUUUUUGCUGGUUAUAGACAAGCUCACACGGACAAUUGUAGUAUAUGUCCUAACCACAUUAGCAGACUUGAGGUUGAUAAAAAUUAAAGUUGAUUAUUUAAUGUUUAGAUUUUUUUGUAUGAUCUAAUGUGUUCUGAUAGCAUUGAGUUUGAUUUACUAUUGGAUGCCUGUUUGCUUUACAUUAGUUAAAAAGAUCAGGGAUUGUUAUGGCUGGAAUGGAGAUGUAAAUUUUGAACCAAGUAUAAGUAUUGGAGCAUGGAUUGGGGAAUGUCCUGUCUAUUCGAAGCAUGGUGACGAAGCUGCUUAUGGUCCAGAUGUUUCCACUUUUGAUGUGUUUGUAGAAACAGAGAAAGAGUUGGAAUGUCCUGUCCGUGAAAUUUCUAGCUAUCAGGUACUACAAAAUCAUAGAAGGAGAUCAUAUUCUUUUCAUUGUGAAUCGAGAAAGAGAUGGAGUUCGAUUUGCGUUGAUGUACGACAGCAUCUUUGAGCAUUUGUAGGAAGCAUGUGUUAUAGCUAUGGAAGCUACAUUUGAGAUGAUUCAAGCCUUGAUAGUUUUGGCAUUUUGUAAAAUGGAUUUAUGGAUAUCAUUUAAUAAUGUAAUAAAACUCCUUAAUUUUGCUCAAGACAAUUUAAAAA